rnacentral:rRNA from 1 species
AACGAACGCUGGCGGCAUGCCUAACACAUGCAAGUCGAACGAAGUCUUCGGACUUAGUGGCGCACGGGUGCGUAACGCGUGGGAAUCUGCCCUUGGGUGCGGAAUAACUUCUCGAAAGGGAUGCUAAUACCGCAUAAUGUCGUAAGACCAAAGAUUUAUCGCCCAAGGAUGAGCCCGCGUAAGAUUAGCUAGUUGGUGGGUAAAAGCCUACCAAGGCGACGAUCUUUAGCUGGUCUGAGAGGAUGAUCAGCCACACUGGGACUGAGACACGGCCCAGACUCCUACGGGAGGCAACAGUGGGGGAAUAUUGGACAAUGGGCGAAAGCCUGAUCCAGCAAUGCCGCGUGAGUGAUGAAGGCCCUA